CGCCCGUCGCAUCAAUCGAUUGGAUGUGCUGGUGAAGUGUUCGGAUUGGCGACCGGGGGCGGUUUCCGCCCUCGGCCGCCGAGAAGUUCAUUAAACCCUCCCACCUAGAGGAAGGAGAAGUCGUAACAAGGUUUCC
rnacentral:rRNA from 1 species